AAGCAAUUGAGUAAGUUGAGAAGUUAUUUAUUGAUUGAGCUCAUAAACAAACGAUGAGAGGAUAAAAGGUGGAAAUUAUUCACAAACUUGAAGGUAGAUCGCCCUUCUAAUAAAACGAGAGGAUAGAAAUGGCAUUUUUGAAGAGACUCCUAAUCAUAAUACAUUUAGAAGCUUAAGGUAAUCGAAAAACAGGAUGCAAGAUCGAAAAAGUAGUUGUUAUUCUACAUAUUUUUUGUUUCCCAAUGUUUAAGCUGAUGAGAAAUAUAUUUUACACAUAAAUAAAUA